UGAAGAGUUUGAUCAUGGCUCAGAUUGAACGCUGGCGGCAGGCCUAACACAUGCAAGUCGAACGGUAACAGGAAGCAGCUUGCUGCUUUGCUGACGAGUGGCGGACGGGUGAGUAAUGUCUGGGAAACUGCCUGAUGGAGGGGGAUAACUACUGGAAACGGUGGCUAAUACCGCAUAACGUCGCAAGACCAAAGAGGGGGACCUUCGGGCCUCUUGCCAUCAGAUGUGCCCAGAUGGGAUUAGCUUGUUGGUGAGGUAACGGCUCACCAAGGCGACGAUCCCUAGCUGGUCUGAGAGGAUGACCAGCCACACUGGAACUGAGACACGGUCCAGACUCCUACGGGAGGCAGCAGUGGGGAAUAUUGCACAAUGGGCGCAAGCCUGAUGCAGCCAUGCCGCGUGUAUGAAGAAGGCCUUCGGGUUGUAAAGUACUUUCAGCGGGGAGGAAGGUGUUGUGGUUAAUAACCGCAGCAAUUGACGUUACCCGCAGAAGAAGCACCGGCUAACUCCGUGCCAGCAGCCGCGGUAAUACGGAGGGUGCAAGCGUUAAUCGGAAUUACUGGGCGUAAAGCGCACGCAGGCGGUCUGUCAAGUCGGAUGUGAAAUCCCCGGGCUCAACCUGGGAACUGCAUUCGAAACUGGCAGGCUUGAGUCUUGUAGAGGGGGGUAGAAUUCCAGGUGUAGCGGUGAAAUGCGUAGAGAUCUGGAGGAAUACCGGUGGCGAAGGCGG
rnacentral:rRNA from 1 species